UACCAGCACCCCGAGUGGUCGGGACGUUUAUUGGGCCUAAAGCAUCCGUAGCCGGUUCUACAAGUCUUCCGUCAAAUCCACCUGCUUAACAGAUGGGCUGCGGAAGAUACUAUAGAGCUAGGAGGCGGGAGAGGCAAGCGGUACUCGAUGGGUAGGGGUAAAAUCCGUUGAUCCAUUGAAGACCACCAGUGGCGAAGGCGGCUUGCCAGAACGCGCUCGACGGUGAGGGAUGAAAGCUGGGGGAGCAAACAGG
rnacentral:rRNA from 1 species